CCCUCCUUUGGGGACAGACCCUUCCUCUGGCCCAGGGAAAAACAGAAUGACCCCUUAAUGUGCCAGGACCCGCCAGAGAUCUUGUGGAUGUGGGGAGGCACUUUCUGGGACCCUCAGUGGGCUUCUGUUCUGCCCCGUGCUGAGGCCACUGGCAUCUUCACCUCCUCCUUCACCCAGAUGCGGCCCUCCUGUGGGCAGCUUCCUCCAGCGGCCUUUCUCAUCACAGUGCUGUGGGCGCCCUCAGCCGUGGUUGCUUUCAGCCUUGCCAUCUUGAGCAAUGCCUGCAGCCUCAGCACUGUGUCUUUAGGGUACUGAGGUGAACAUGCCAGGGCCCAGGAGGCCUAGGUGGGUGGAUCAUGAGGUCAGGAGUUCGAGAUCAGCCUAACGUGAAACCCCAUUUCUAUUAAAAAUUCAAAAACUAGCCGGGUGUGGUGGUGCGUGCCAAUAAUCCCAGCUACUCAGGAGGCUGAGGCAGGAGAAUCACUUGAACUGGAAGGCGGAGGUUGCAGUGAGCCGAGAUUGCACCACUGUACUCCAGCCUGGGCGACAGAGCGAGAUUCCAUCUCAAAAAAAAAAAAAGAAAUUCCAGGGUCCGUGCCCUCAAGAGUAUGGAUGGGGAGCAAAGCUGGGAGAGCAAUAAGGCCCAGGUCCUGGACAGGGCUGGGAGACACCAGGGGGCCCCACGUGUCCCAGGCAGGCAGGUGGCGUGGUCCCAGGCAGUGUUCAGAACACUUACGGAACCAGACUGGGUUUCCACAGUUCGCAGGCGGGUAACCCAGGAUGUUGUCUAUGAGAUGCUCACACACCUGAGGGGGGCUCCCUGGGAUUUCCAAGAGCUCUUGGAGCCAAAGCUCACGUUACAACACAGACCUGGGAAUAAAUGGGUGUGUUCCAGGCACCUGCCUUUCUGGGACAGGAGCUCAGCCGAGACACUCUUGGGUUCCCACAGUAUUCAUGGGUGAACGGAUUUCUGCCCCCGCAGUCUUCCUGAUGCUCCAGCGUGGCUGGUUUAGGGUUGCGCCCUUCACGGAGGCAGGAGAGUUAUGCACUUUCCCCCACCGGCCGCCUCAGCUGGGCUGGGACCUGGACGCCAUCCUCUGGCCUAGUCCCCUCGCCCUGGUCGUCACAACCAGCCACGCUGUCCAGCUGGGCCCGGAUGUCCUCAGGCUCUGGGGAGUUUGUUGAAGCCACUGUUUCAGGCUUCCCGUGUGUUUUCCCAGCUGGAAGAUAUUUCUAGGAUGGUGGACGCAGCCCCCAGAGCUCUGCCCCCUCUCUCCACACAGAGCAGGGCAGAUAUCGGGGGCAUGCUUCCCGGGCUGACGAUAAGGAGCAUGGUGGUCGGGGGCACCUCUGAAGACAAGGUGUCCGUGUGCCGUGGGUUCCGAGGCUGCAUGCAGGGAGUGAGGAUGGGGUGAUGCCCACCAAUGUGGCCACCCUGAACAUGAACAACGCCCUCAAGGUCAGGGUGAAGGACGGCUGUGAUGUGGAGGACCCUUGUACCUCGAGCCCCUGUCCCCCCCACAGCCACUGCCACAAUGCCUGGGAGGACUACAGCUGCGUCUGUGACAGAGGUGGGACCUUCAGUGACAGGGACUCCUCUCAUGGCUGAAACACAGGACGGGGCUCAGUUUGGACAUUGAUGUCCCCAGCCGAUUCCCUGUGGUUCCGUGGAGUGCUGAGCUUUAUUUUAUAACAAGUGGGCCCCUCCUGGAGACAGACUCAGCCUCUUCCUUACUGGAGGCACAGGGAGUGGUCUAGGCCCUCUCCUCAGCACAUGAGGUGACAAUCUGGGUGCGGUGGCUCAUGCCUGUAAUUCCAGCACUUUGAGAUUCAGAGGUGGGCGGAUCACUUGAGGCCAGAAGUUCGAGAACUGCCAGGCAACAUGGUGAAACCCUGUCUCUACCAAAAAAAUACAAAAAUUAGCCAGGUGUGGUGGCAUGCACCUGUGGUCCCAGCUACAUGGGAGGCUGAGGUGGGAAGAUCACUGGAGCCUGGGAAGCAAAGUCACAGUCAGCUGAGAUCACGCCACUGCACUUCAGCCUGGGCAACAGAGAAAGACUCUGUCUCCAAAAACAAACAAAAAAGCCUAGUGAAAAGUAUACAUUAAAAAAAAUUGGCCGGGCACUGUGGCUCACGCCUGUAAUUCCACUAUUCUGGGAGGCCAAAGACAGGCAGAUCAUGUGAAGUUGGGAGUCAGCUCAUCCGUUGACGGAUGCCUGGGUCAUGUCCACCUUUUGGCCUGUGUGAAUGGUGCUGUUGUGAAUGUGGGUGUGCAAAUAUCUGGGUCCUUGCUUUUAGACUUUUGGGUGUAGAGCCAGAAGUGGGCUUGCUGGGUCAUGUGGUAAAUCCUAUGACCUAGCCUGGCCAACAUGGUGAAACCACGUCUCUACUAAAAAUAGAAAAAGCAACCAGGCAUGGUGGUGCGCGCCUGUAGUCCUAGCUACGCUGGAGGCUGAGGCAGGGGAAUCACUUGAACCUGGGAGGCAGAGGUUGCGGUGAGCCAAGAUCGGGCAACUGCACUCCAGCCUGGGUGACAGGAAACUGUCUCAAAAAAAAAAAAAAAAAAUCAGCAGCUAGGCCUGUUUCCUCAUCUGUGAGUGGAGUCUUUGGAAGACAGUCUGCAGUGACUCACCCAUUGCUCCCAGGGGCCAGGUCCCAGGCUUGGGAGAUGUUGGGCCAUGAUCUUGGGUGUCCAGCAGGCAGGUCCUCCAGACCCUCAGGAGUGAGGCUCUAGAAGGGUGGGUGUCAUGGGUCCUGCCUCCCUCCAGGCUCACUGCAGACAGGUGUAUGUACACGUGGGGUGCAGGAAGCUGGAAAUCGAUUCUGUUCUCAAGAUGGUCAGUCAACCAGGCAUGGUACUUUGCGCCUGUAAUUUUAGCAGUGUGGGAGGCCAAGGUGGGCAGACUGCUUGAGCCCAGGAGUUCGAGACCAGCCUGGGCACUGUAGUGAGACCCCUUCUCUAUUAAAAAAAUAAAUAAAUUAGCCAGGUGUGGUGGCAUGCUCUUGUAUUCCCAGCUACUCAGGAGGCUGAGGUGGGAGGAUUGUUUGAGCCCAGGAGAUUGAGGCUACAGUGAGCUGAGAUUGCACCACUGCACUGCAUUCUGGGUGAGAGAGUGAGACCGGGUCUCAAAAAAUAAAUAUAAAUAAAUAGGCUGGGCACAGUGGCUCGUGCCUGUAAUCCCAGCACAUUGGGAGGCUGAGGCAGGUGGAUCACUUGAGGUCAGGAGUUUGCGACCAGCCUGGCCAACAUGGCGAAAUGCCACCUUUACGAAAAACACAAAAAGCAGCCAGGCGUGAUGGUGCACACGUGUAAUCCUAGUACUCAGGAGGCUGAGACAGGAGAAGUGGCUGAAGCUGGGAGGCAGAGGUUGCAGUUAGCCAAGAUCACGCUGCUGCACUCCAGCCGGGGAGACAGCGUGAAACUCCAUCUCAAAAAAAUACUAAUUUAAAAAAAUUAAAUAAAUAACUAAGGCCAGCCAAUCAGUGGGACAGUUGUAUUCAUUUUGAAAACAGCGACGGGGCACAGUGGCUCAUGCCUGUAAUCCCAGCACUUUUGGAGGCUGAGGCGGGUGGAUCACGAGGUCAAGAGAUCGAGACCGUCCUGGUCAACAUGGUGAGACCCUGUCUCUACCAAUAAUACAAAAAAUUAGCUGGGCAUGAUGGCGCGUGCCUGUAAUCCCAGCUACUCAGGAGGCUGAGGCAGGAGAAUUGCCUGAACCCAGGAGGCGGAGGUUGCAGUGAGCCGAGAUCGCGCCAUUGCACUCCAGCCUGGGUGACAAGAGCGAAACUCCAUCUCAAAAAAAAAGAAAAGAAAACAGCAAGGGUUCAAGGAAGCUGUGGGGGUUAUGUCUGAUUAAAGGAACUGUCCCCCCAGUUCUUGCUGUCGACAUCUUUGACAAGCUGAACUUCACGGGAGCCACAGUGCCACGGUUCGACGCCAUUCAGGAAGAUUUCCCCAGGGAGCUGCAGUCCUCCGUCUCCUUCCCAGCUGACUUCUUCAAACCACCCGAAGAAAAAGAAGGGCCCCCUGGGGAGGCCGGCCGGCCGGAGGACCACCCCGCAGACCACGCGCCCGGGGCCGGGCACCGAGAGGGAGGCUCCGAUCAGCAGGCGGAGGCGACACCCUGAUGAUGCUGGCCAGUUCGCCGUCGCUCUGGUCAUCAUUUACCGCACCCUGGGGCAGUUCCUGCCCGAGCACUAUGACCCAGACCGCCGAAGCCUUCGCAUCAGUGGGACGGGAGGGUGGUCUGCCCAGGGAUGCGAGCUCCUGUCCAGAAACCGGACGCAUGUCACGUGCCAGUGCAGCCACACAGCCAGCUUCGCGGUGCUCAUGGACAUCUCCAGGCAUGAGGUGGGCAUCCGCCUGUGGCCGCUGUGCCCACCAGGCCUACCCCCCGAGUCUGCCCCCUCCUCAAAUGAAAUCUUCCACCGCAAGUGUUUUGAACAAAGCACAUCAACCAGUUAAAAACCAUUCCAGGACUGGCCAGAGUCCAUGAGGAUUUCCAUAACAAAGCCCCGUGACAAGGGUUUUCAGAGCCCUGCUUAUGCUUUAUACCCUGGGAUGACAGACCCAAAGCUCUCAGAGGAGCUCCCCAAUCUGCCCCUCGCUUCAGAGUGGGUCUGCUGGAAGGUGCCGCUGUCCAACUGCUUUAAUUGUAAGGGAGGUGACAGCUGCUGGGCACAGUGGGUGCGCUCCCUCGGGGCCACACGCAGGGCCGCAGGACAAAAGGCUGGGCGGCUAAUGUUUAGCCUCUGGCAUUUUAAGCAGCCUGGGAAUGUGAGCCGGCUAUUGUCAGCCUGCAGAUGAAUUGGGGAGUGGCCUGGUUGCUGUCCUGGCCUCCCAUUACCCAGACAGGAAGGAGGUGGGAGCCAGCCUGGGCACGGCCUGUGGGGGACUCGGUGUCUAGGAGGCAGAACCAGAGGCCUGGGUGGCCUCCCCUGGCCCCUCCCCAGGGCCGCGCUGUGGCUCAGGCACCCAGACCACCGUCCUUCCCGAGGGCUUUCUGAUGUGAAGUGGCCCUGGUUUCUGUCACAUUCUUGGAAGGGUGAGUCAGUCCUGAGGCAGGGCUGGAGGAGGGCUGUGGCUUUCUAUGCACUGUGCAUGAGAAGCUGCCCUGCCUGUGCCCCCGUCUCACAGGCAGAGGGCACUCCCCAGCAGGACCCAGCCUGGAGAGGGCGUCAGUGGUUAGUGGACUUGGUUCAUAUAAGGGCGGGGUUGGAGGUGUUCUCAUGGCCAGGAUGCCAGGCGACAUGCGGACCAAGGAAGCUGAAAUAGAGGCAGAAGAAAGGAGGCUGGAGUGGGAGUCUGAGGUGCCCAUGGUCCAGGUGCCCCAAAGCCAGAGUCUCUGAACAGUCCCCGAGCCAGUGGAGGGAGCCUGGGGUAUUGCUGCAGGCCCCAGGGACACCCAGGGCCCAGAGCGUUGAAGGAGCCACAGGAGGGGCAGUUCCAGGCCCAGGCCCAUGAGCGCUCGGCCUCCCUGGCCCAGCCUGAUCUUGGCUUCCUGGCUCAGUCCCAUAUGGUAAACAACCCCUUCCAGAAGAUACCAGAGAACCAGAGCUUGUAAAUGCAGAAACGCCCCAGGGGCCUGGGGCCUGGACAGGUGUCCUGGUUUGUAAAAGCACAGAAAACACAGCAACGUGAGCACACGCUGCCGGGCUGCACACUUCAAAGCACCCAAGAGGGCACGUUUUAUGCCUUGUGUAUUUUAGCACAAUUUUUCUUUUCUUUUUUUUUUUCUUGAGACAGAGUUUUGUUCUUGUCGCUAAGGCUGGAGUGCAGUGGCACAACCUCAGGUCACUGCAACCUCCGUCUCCUGGAUUCAAGUGAUUCUCCUGCCUCAGCCUCCAAAGUAGCUGGGAUUACAGGCUCCCACCACCAUACCCGGCUAAUUGUUGUAUUUUUGUAGAGAUGGGUUUCACCAUGUUGGCCAGGCAGGUCCCGAACUCCUGACCUCAGGUGAUCCACCUGCCUAGGCCUCUGAAAGUGCUGGGAUUACAGGUGUGAGCCACCAUGCCCAGCCUUUUUUGCAGUCAAAUGCUCUACCAUUGAGCUAUGCCCCCAGGCCCCCCAUGCCCAGCCUUUUUUAUAAAGACAUGUUCAAUGCCUGUAAGAAAUGCAUAAUAAGGUUGGGUGUGGUGGCUCCAAGCUGUAAUCCCAGCACUUUGGGAGGCUGAGGCAGGCAGAUCACUAGAUCUCACAAGUUUAAGUCUAGCCUGGGAAACAUAGUAAAACCCUGGCUCUACCAAAAAUACAGAAUCUAGCCGGGCAUGGUGAUGCGUGCCUGUAGUCCCAGCUACUUGGCAGGCUAAGGUAGGAGGAUGGCUUGAGCCCAGGAGGCAGAGGCUGCAGUGAGCUGAGAUUGUGCCUCUGCACUCCAGCCUGGGCAACAGAGCCAGACCCUGUCUUAAAAAAAAAAAAAGUAUAGUAACAGAUCUGGAAAUUUGAAAAGUUUAUAUAAUGAGCUGUGAUAGAGACAUGUGGAGGGGGCAUAGGACAUCUGUGUGCUGGUGGUAAUGAUAGAACACGUCAUAGUAAGGGUGAAGCAGGAACAACAGGACGGGUGAGGAGGGUACAGAUGCCCGUUGCCAUGGCAAUUGAAGCAUCAAGCCUGCCAGUCCACAUAACUGAAACCUGAAGCUCCGCCCAUGCUCAGCGAGUUGUUUAGCUUUUCUUCUUUUUAUGUGAUGGAGUUUUGCUCUUGUUGCCCAGGCUGGAGCGCAGUGGAGUGAUCUCAACUCACUGCAACUUCCCCCUCCCAGGUUCAAGCCAUUCUCCUGCCUCAGCCUCCCACGUAGCUGGGAUCUUAAGCGUGCACCACCACAUCUGGCUAAUUUUAUAUUUUUAGUAGAGACAGGGUUUCUCCACGUUGGUCAGGCUGGUCUCGAAGUCCUGACCUCAGGUGAUCCGCCAGCCUUGACCUCCCAAAGUGCUGGGAUUACAAGCGUGAGCCAUUGCACCCAGCCUGUUUAGCUCCUUUAAGCAUUGCUUUUCUCACCUGGGAGGAAGAUGAGGGUCACAUCCGCACUCUCCUCAGAGCUGCCAUCUAAGGAUGAUGUGGAACGUGCUCUCGUGGGUCUGUGAGAAUGCCUGCCGCUUAAUCAGUGCUCAGUAAAAGGUUUUGCUGAACAAAGAAAAUUACAUUCAUGUCGUAUUCCCACAAGUACUCCUUUUCUUUGUAAAGUGAGGGUAAGUCUUUCAGCCAAAAGCGUAAGGCCAUGAUAGAAUUACGAGGAAGUCCAAGAGGUAUUGCAUGCACCUGUGGAGGAGACACGUUUACCUUCCGCGUACGCAGGAAUUGCCUGUGGGGUUUUUAGUUUUUUUUUUUUUUUUUUAGAUGGAGCCUCCUUCUGUUGCCCAGACUGGAGUGUAGUGGUGCCAUCUUGGUUCAAUGCAAGCUCUCUGCUUCCUGGGUUUGAGAGAUUCUCCUGCCUCAGCCUCUUGGGUAGCUCGGAUUACAGGCCCGCCACCACACCCAGCUAACUUUUGUAUUUUUAGUGGAGACGGGGUUUCACCAUGUUGGCCAGGCUGGUCUCAAACUCCUGACCUCAGGUGAUCCACCUGCCUUAGCAGUCCCAUGCAAGCACCCUGGCUGGCGUCCUCCUCGCCGCCACCACCUCUGAUUCACAGAUGGCCAAGAGGAACCUGCCAGGUCACAGGCUGUGGGUGGCGGCGUGGUAUUUACCAGCAGGUCCAAGCACUUCACCACCCUCUUUAUUGGGAGAUGGGGGGGGCCCUUUCUUUUUUUCUUUUGAGAUGGAGUCUCUCUCUCUCACCCAGGCUGGAGUGUAGUGGCAUGAUCUCGGCUCGCUGCAACCUCUGCCUGCCAGUUUCAAGCGAUUCUCCUGCCUCAGCUUCCCUAGUAGCUGGGAUUACAGCCAUGCACCACCAUGCCUGGUUAAUUUCUGUUUUUCAUAGAGACAUGGUUUCACCAUGUUGGCCAGGAUGACCUCAAACUCCUGACCUCAGGUGAUCCACCUGCCCUCUCAAAGUGCUGGGAUUACAGGUGUGAGCCACCAUGCCCGGCCGGGGCCCUUUUCUGAAAUUAUGUAUGGGGAGAGCUGAACCACAUUGGAUCUUCAGCUGCUGAAUUCAGUGACUUUGGGUGCAUUUAACCCUUUACCUCAGUCACCAUUCACACUGUCAGUAGUUGUACAAUGAAUGAGCACCUACUGUGUGCCUGGGGCUGGGAACAUAGCGGGGAAUGGAACGAGCAGUCUGGGUCCCCACCUUCCUGGAGCUGGUGAUUCCACAGCUAAGCAUCCCUGAGGGGUGUUCCCCAUCUUGGGUGACAGCAGAGGCUGCCCUGGAAAGUGGCUGAGAUGGCUGAGAUGGAAAGCUGGAGAGAGGUCCUCCAGGCAGCGGGCUAGGGAGGUGCAGAGACCAGAGCACACCCAGGGGGUGGCAGCAUCCAGUGAGGAGAGCUGAGAACCCUGGCUGGCACAGUCCGGCCGCUGGCAUGGAGCCCAGUGAGGCACCGGUGGCCAUAGCUGGGAAAUCUAGUCUGUGUCCCUGUACUGAGGGUACUAGUCCUGACAGCCCUGUGACUUCACCCUGCCAGUGAGCUCAAGAUAGGACCUCGGGCUCCCACCUGUGAUCCCAGCACUUUGGGAGUCCGAGGUGGGUGGAUCACAAGGUCAGGAGAUCAAGAUCAUCCUGUCUACUAAAAUACAAAAAAAUUAGCCUGGCAUGGUGGCAUGUACCUGUAGUCCCAGCUACUGAGGAGGCUGAAGCAGGGGAAUUGCUUGAACCCGGGCAGCAGAGGUUGCAGUGAGCUGAGACCACGCCACUGCACUUGAGCUUGGUGACAGAGCAAGACUCUGUCUCAAAAAAAAAAAAAAAAUAGGACCUUGCUCAUGACAUAGAGCUUAGAAGGUAAAGUGGGGUCAGAGUCAGCCCACGUGUGGAGCUUACAAGAGGUGUAAAGGUUGAGAAUGAUGAGAAGGGAGAUGACAGAUAAAUACCAGCCGGAGUGAGCCUGGAGCUGUAUACCAUGAGCAGACUAACUCGGCUUGAGGAGGAACGGUGAUAUUUAGAGACAGUGCUGCUAUAAAAAGGUCCAUUCACUGGGAAGAUAUAAACUUACCAUUUUUUUUUUGAGACGGAGUUUUGCUCGUUACCCAGGCUGGAGUGCAAUGGUGUGAUCUUGGCUCACUGAAACCUCCACCUCCUGGGUUCAGGCAAUUCUCCUGCCUCAGCCUCCUGAGUAGCUGGGAUUACAGGCACGUGCCACCAUGCGCAGCUAAUUUUGUAUUUUUAGUAGAGAUGGGGUUUUGCCAUGUCAGUCGGGGUAAUCUCAAUCUCCCAACCUAAGGUGAUCCCCGCCUUGGCCUCCCAAAGUGCUGGAAUUACAGGUGUGAGCCACCUCGCCUGGCCAAAAAAUAGCAUCUCGUGCUGUCUGCUUGAGUUAUCUGAAGAUGGAAGUUAACUGAAAGGUGCUCCCACCAAGGCCAUUCUCCCUCCAACAGGGUGUCUCACUCAGUGGAGACAAUGAGCAGAUAGCACCUAAAUCCCACUGACAAAUUAGGUGAUAACAAAUAUUUGCUUUGAGCUUGUCACACUGCGCUCUUCUAAACAUGGUUUGAAAGGAAAGGCAGUGAGAAAGCCUUGGAAUGUUAUCAUUUACUACAAAGGGAGAGAAUACUUUUUUUCUUUCAAAAUAUCUCUGUGGGUGGCAGUUAUUCAUUCAUUCAUUCAUUAUUUAUUUAAGUUUCACUUGUCACCCAGGCUGGAGUGCAAUGUUCACUGACACCUCCCCCUCCCGGGCUCAAGCAAUUCUCUUGCCUCAGCCUCCUGAGUAGCUGGAAUUACAGGCAUCUGCCACGCCUGGCUAAUUUACAUUUCUAGCAGAGAAGGGGUUUAACCUUGUUGGCCACCAGGCUGGUCAUAAACUUUUGAUCUCAGAUUAUUCACCUGCCUCAGCUUCCCAAAGUGCUGGGAUUACAGGCCUGAGCCACUGUGCCCCGUCAGAUUUUUAAACUAUUCUGUGUCAAUAGUGCAGAUGAACUACCCUUGUGCCCAGGAGAAAGCAGAAGGGCAUUCGAACCUCAGGCCACCAAAGCCGACCCCUGAAACGUGAGCCAUGGUGAGAAGCACAGAGGCAAAGCCCCUUGCCCAGUGUCACAGGAAGUGGUGGAGCUGGAACCUGACCUAGAAGUGUCUGGUGUAUAACAAGCGUGGACAGACUCUGUAGCCUGAAACUCCAAUGUUAUUGAAGGGAAAGAGAAGCACACAAAGCUCUCCAGUGCCCGGUCUCAGCAGCUCUCCCGUCAUUUCCUCCUCCCUGCCCAGGGGCUGAAAGGGCACCUGCUCAGAGGUUGCACAGGUUUCUGUCGGAGGCCUGAACGGUGUCCUGUGUAGCAGCACGAGGUUUCCCUAGCAACCCUACCAGCCAAAUGCACACAUUCCAGAGAAUGCCACAGCCUUCUCCAAGGAAAGCCUCUUCCCUGCAACCAAUCACAGGGGCAUCUGCCUUCACUGCCCUCCUACUCCCCCCACCUAGCAAGUGGCUGGUUUAUGCUCAGGCUCCGUUGAAAGGAUGAAUGAACAAAAGCUUUGUCAGUCCUAUGAAGAGCUUCCAAUCCCCACUGGGCAUCCGCAGCACCGGGCUGCACCUCCAUAGAGCAGGUGUGUUUUCAGAGUAGGAAAGAUCCCGCAUGUUAGGGUCUGGGCCCAUUUUGUGCCUCUAUCCCUAAUGAAGCUCAGCGUGCUGCACUUAGUAGGUGCUCAGAACUGAAAUGAACCAGGGUUUCUUUUUAUCCCAGAUGGAGUUUUGCUCUCAUUGCUCAGGCUGGUUUAAUGGCACAAUCUUGGCUCACUGCAAUUCUCCUGCCUCAGCCUCCCAGUACCUGGGAUGACAGGCACCUGCCACCACCACGUCCAGUUUUUUUUUUAGACGGAGUCUCGCUCUGUUGCCAGGCUGGAGUACAGUGGCAUGAUCUUGGUUCACUGCAACUUCCAACUCACUGGUUAGACUGAUUCUCCUGCCUCAGCCUCCUGAGUAGCUGGGAUUACAGGCACACACCACACCCAGCUAAUUUUUGUAUUUUUAAUAGAAACAGGGUUUCACCAUGUCAGCCAGGAUGGUCUCAAACUCCUGACCUCAGGUGAUCCACCUUUCUAGGCCUCCCAAGGUGCUGGGAUUAUAGGCGUGAGCCACCACGCCAGCCUGAAACCAAGGUUUCUAAGAUACUCUUAGCCUCCUCAGAUCUGGCCCGGCCCACCUUUCCACCUUUCCUUUUCUGCACAACUGACCACAGCUAGCCCAGCCUACGCAACAGCCAGUCUGGCUCCCCCACAAUGCAGAGCCGGCACAGGCCACAGGAGCCAGGCCCAGUCACAUCCGUGGACCCCCUGCCACAGACAAAUGCUACACACAGCUGGUAGCACAUGGCACUGUUUACUGUGGCGCUCGGUGGAAAACAUCUGUAGACCAGCGUACUGCAGUGGUGACCGCUGCCACACAUGCUCAGGGACUUUUAUUAUAUAAAACAUGGGAGGGCGGGAGUUCCACCCGCUCCUUUGUGACAGCAACUGCGCCCUGAAUACAGAGCCUUGUAGGCAUAUGCAGCUUUCGUAUUGCUUCAUGAUUUGAGUUUGUUUCCUUUUAAAAAAAAUGCCUUCUUGCUGCAAGGCUCAAUGCAGCAUAUAGAAAACGGUUAGGAAUACAGGUAAAUUCGGCAACCAGUGUAGACCAGUGAGGACAAGCUCCUCUCUUCUAAAGAAAGGCAGUGAGAAAGCCUCAGAAUUUUAUUUAUUAAAAGAAAAAAAAGAAAAUCUUUUUUUCUGCUUUCAAGAAUAUCUGUGCAGGUGGUAGAUUUUCAACCAUGCUGAAUCAACUGUGCAGGUAAACUAACCUCGGGCCUGGAGGGAGACGGGAUGGGGAUGGGAGGCACGUUCACAGCAGUCCCAAGGUCGGGGGAGGUGUGCGGCAGGGUCUGAAAAGGGGAGGCUGCAGUGUCCGCCUGUCCAUCUGUCUCAGGCUGAAGGAGAAAAGGCUUAUUCAGAGGUUUGGCCUCAGCUCCUUCCGCUUUGCCAUCCACCUCCUCGUCCGAGCAUUCGUUGGGGCAAACGGCAGGUCCCCACACCUGGGGGCAGAGGCAGAGGCAGAGUCAGUGGGGCCUGGCCAGGGAGGCCACAGCACAGCACACAAAUCCCACAGCAAAUUUGAGAGGGAAAUCAGGCGCCUGGCUGCUCCCACCAAACAGAAGCAAGGCAAAGCCUUGGGAGCCACAGCUCAGCUGGACAGGACCGCUCUCAAAGAAAUCUUCCCACAAAAUAGUGGUCAGACAUCUUCAUGCACAACAGCAGCACACAGAGUUCAGGCAAACAGGAACAGUUACAACAGGAAAGGCAGAAAAGUGUAAAAUGCCACCUUUUGUUCCAGCUCAUAAAAGGUGACACCACAGCGAGUACACAGGUGAACCACAGCGGGUUAACACAGACAGGCACGCACUACCACACGGCAGGAAAUUCACAUCAGAUACUGACUACUGAUGCUUAAAAAGAGGCCCGAUGAAGGCCACGCAUGGUGGUGCUUGCUUGUAGUCCCAGCACUUUGGGAGGCCGAGGCUGUCAGACCACGAGGUCAGGAGUUUGAGACCACCCUGGCCAACACAGUGAACCGCCAUCUCUACUAAAAAUACAAAAAUUAGCCAGGCAUGAAGACACGCACCUAUAAUCGCAGCUACUCGGGAGGCUGAGGCAGAAGAAUCGCCUGAACCCAAGAGGCAGAGGUUGUGGUGACACAAGAUUAUGCCACUGCACUCCAGCCUGGGUAAAAGAGCAAGACUCUGACUCAAAUGUAUUUUAAACCUACGGUUAUUCUUGCUACAUGAUAUGACAUAUCAGAGCUGUUUUUAUGUGUUCAUUAUUCUUCAAUUAUUGGUGAGGUGAAAAUUUCCAAGUAUGUAUCCCACACUCUAGGCUGCUUCUCGGAACCAUCAUGCCGCAGCCCAGAAGGCUGGAGCGUCAGGACGCGGCUGAUGCUGGAGUCUGCACUGGGUGAGGCCUUCUGAACUCCCCCAUGCCUGGGCCUGCACUUGCCUGUUUGCUUCUGUGUUUCAUGUACUCAGCCAUGCACCGUUCUGCAAGUUUGCUGUUGGACUAUUGUUUCCACUCACCUCUGAGCCUGUGUCUCCAUUAGUGAGAUGGGGCUGGAAGCACCCAGGACCUUCCCAAGAGGCGCCACCCUGCCAGGUUCCCGCCCCAGAGCCCUCGCAUGUAGCUGGCUCAGCUGGGCACUGCCCGCCCUUACCCGCCACUUCCACAGCUGCUCGAUGGCUUCAUCCCGGUUCUUGUUGGCCGAGUCGAUGCGCGCCUCCAGGUCAAUCUCCAGCUUCUUCCGGGCUGGCCACUGCCAUGGAGUGCCUCUUCCUCUCGUCCUCCAGCUCUGCCUCCAUCUCCCUGCACCUGGAGGAAGGAACACUGACAGCUUGGGAAGCUGGACCCACUCAGAGACCCUGCUCUGGCUCUGAACCCAGGUGCCUCUGCAGGAUCUGCGGGGCCUCCGGAAGCCAGUGGGCAUUACUGACUCAAAAACUCUAAGAAGGUGAGUCACUGACCCGAGGGACAGGGGACCGGACAGGAGGGACAGGGAGGGGAGGCGUGGUCCAGGGCCCUAACACAAUCCAGGUGGAAGGAGGAAAUGGAAGCCUGGGUGAAGCCAGGGCAACCCUGGCCACCGUGGGGUAGCAGGAGCCCACGCACACCUGUCUGACCAGCUGCUGCUGCUUCUCCUCACUCUGCUCGUCCCGGCCCUGCAGGUCCCGCUCGAACUGGAUCUUCAUGGCCUGCAGGUUGACCUCCAGCUGCAGAUUGGCGUUUUCAGUGUCCUGCAGCUCAUCCUCCAGCUCCUCCAGCUGGGUCUUCAACUCCUCCACCUGCUGCUCCAGAAGCCGCCUGGACUUCAGCUCAUGGAUCUGAGCCCCAGAGAGCCCAAGUCAGGAGCAAAGAGACUGGCAGGGACCUGGGUCUGCUAGACCCGGAACGUGUGUAUGCGUUGACCCUCUGUGAUGACCCCGCUCGGGCCCCUCCCAAGGCCUGGCUGCCAGGCCCGGCACUCACGCUCUUGCCCUUGGAGCUCAUGAUGUCCAUCUCCAAGCGGAACUGCUUGUUGAGCCGCUCCGGCUCUACUUUCUGCUCCAUGGCUUCCUUCAGGGCCCGGGCCAGUGACAGCGCCUUGGUCUCCUUCUCUCGGGCCUCGGCCUCGGCCCGGUCACGCUCCUCUGCAUACUUGGCAGAGAUGGUCUUCUCCUCUGCCAGGAGCUGGGAAAGAGAGGGGCACCAUGAGGCUCAGCUCCACAGGCUCCGAGCUACAGCCCCCAGCAGGGCAGAGCAGCUGGGCCCAAGCUAAUUUUUGUAUCCUUAGUAGAGAUGGGGUUUCACCAUGUUGGCCAGGCUGCUCUCGAACUCUUGACCUGGUGAUCUGCCCACCUCGGCUUCCCAAAGUUCUGGGCUUAUAGGCAUAUAAGCCCAUGCCCAGUCAAGAGUGCAUUCUUUAGAGUAUACAGGCCCCACAGUCUCUGCAGAAACGCAACCCCACUACCACAGUGCAACAACCAGAGACUGACACAAGAAUGAUUGUGUGUGUGUGUGUGUUCGGUGCAGCUUUCUCCCCAAAAUGCAGCGGGCUGGACCCGGCCGCCGCAGUUCCAUGCUCGAUGUCUAUCCCACCCCAGGUGUUCACAUCUCCCUCAGCUUCCCGCAGAUCUUUUGGAAUAAGGAGCAAUAUGAAUGCACAAAUAAAUGGUAUAAAUGACAGGAAAAACAGUUCAUUAUAGAAAAUCUGAAAAAAACGUGAAAACCCAGAAAGGAAAAGUUCCUCCUCAACCCACUGCAUGAAGACACCCUCUUCCGCUGGCCUUCUCCCCAAGCCCCUCAACAAGCCAGAGACUAGGGGUCCUCUAAGUGCUGGCCCCGCACGACCCCUCCCGGGCAAGGUCUCGGGGGAGCCCAAGGUUUCUCUGAUGAGGCCCUCGCCUUGGGCUGAGUGCCGGAAGGAGAGAAAAUGCAAAGGAUGGGGUGGAUGGCUACACACCUGGUCAAACUUCUGCUUCUCCAGGUCCACAAGCAGCUCAUCCCGCUCCUGCUGGGCCUGGCGCUUGGCACGCUCCGCGGCUGCCAGUUCCUGCCACAAAGAUCCAGAAUGUGACCUGAAGGCAGCCACAGCCCCACAAGACCAUCCUUCCCAGCCCUGGGCACCCUCCUCUCAAGCCCUUCCCCAGCCCCACCUCCCCAGAAAGCUCUUCCUCCAGGAUUCCUCUAGCUCACAGGGCUGGUGCCCCCCUAAAGUCACAGCUUAAAAGCAUUGUAUGUUUAUAAAACUCAACUACAUUUAAGUGCUAGGAAUCAAGCCAGGUGCCAGGGUGUGUUGAUGACUAACAAGUGUCCUGGCCUAACCAGGGCAGACCACGUGGACAGAGCCGCUCACUGCUGCCCCGGCCCGUUCUGGGUAGCCAGAGCCCAGAGUCAGCUCCGGAGCCUACAGGCAGGAGAUGGCUGCACCCUGGACGCAGUCACACCCGGCAAGUCACACUGCAGGGCACCCUCUAGACCCAGGAAACACUUCAGGACUGGCUCAGGUGCAACACGGACAGGGCAGCCAUGGGGAUGCUGAGACCCUCCCUCACCAGAACAUGGUCACGGCAGGAGGUGGUGGCGGCCACGGAGCCUCAUCUGAUGUGAGGCAUUUCACUCACACACAAUCUCAUCAUACCAGGGAGGCCCACUAUGUAAUGGAACCCUGGGGAUCCUUUUGUAAUGUGAGAGCUGUCCCCAGCCAAUUCCUGGAGCUGAGUCGGACCCUAGCCCUGCCCUCUGCUGAAAGCCCUGUGCUGCCACCUGCUGGCUGCAGGGCAGCAGUGCCGCUCUCCACUGCCACGCCACCCACCUCGUGCAAGUGGAUCAUCUCGGCCUCCACUCUCUUCAGGUUCCUCUCAUUCUCUAUGGCCUGGGCCAGGAUCUCUUCGCGAGAGCGCGGGUGUCAUCCAGCUCACACAUGCAGUGUUUAACCUGGGCCUGGGGCAGGCACAGAGGCUUGGCACCCCACCCAGGGCCUUGGCCCUCGGCCCUCCACCCCCACCCUCGAGCGUCAUCUCACACACAGGGAUGGCUGUGGUCUGCUUGAUAUUUAACCAACCAUGGUGACAGGGAGAAAAAGCAACUGAGGACAAAAAUCUGCAUCCCACUUCAUAACUCACACUUUGACAGUGUUGGUCACUGUGGACGCAAGCCCAGGCUGAGCUUCAUUUUCCACUUCUGUCUCCUCUGUGGGCUAGAGACCAGUGCCCACGGUGCACCCCUAAUGCGCACCUGCCGCUUGAAACCAGUGCCCAGCCUGGCGGGUGUCCCCACCACAGGCAGGAAACACCUUUCCUUUUGUUACCCACCUCCUAUUUGUUUUAAUGCUAAAGAUUUUUGUCAAAUAUUUUUUUCCAUUUGCAGAUAACUCCAAAAACAGAUUCCCCAAGGCAAAGUGCAUGACUGGGUGUGUGCAGCCAGUCCACAGCAGCAGAACAUGCCAACAGCAGAGUAUCUGUGCCCCACAACGUUGCCCACAGUUAGCUUUUACAGAUUUUUUUUUGCCCAGGCACAGCAGCUCACGCCUGUAAUCCCAGCACUAUGGGAGGCCAAGGCUGUCAGAUCAUGAGGUCAGGAGUUUGAGACCACCCUGGCCAACACAGUGAACCGCCAUCUCUACUAAAAAUACGAAAAUUAGCCAGGCAUGAGAACACACACCUAUAAUCCCAGCUACUUGGGAGGCUGAGGCAGGAGAAUCGCCUGAACCCAAGAGGCAGAGGUUGUGGUGACACAAGAUUGCGCCACUGCACUCCAGCCUGGGCAAAAGAGCAAGACACUGACUCAAAUGUAUUUUAAACCUAUGGUUUUCUUGCUACAUGAUAUGACAUAUCAGAGCUGUUUUUAUGUGUUCAUUAUUCUUCAAUUAUUGGUGAGGUGAAAAUUUCCAAGUAUGUAUCCCACACUCUAGGCUGCUUCUCGGAACCAUCACGCCGAGCCCAGAAGGCUGGAGCGUCAGGACGCGGCUGAUGCUGGAGUCUGCACUGGGUGAGGCCUUCUGAACUCCCCCAUGCCUGGGCCUGCACUUGCCUGUUUGCUUCUGUUUCAUGUACUCAGCCAUGCACCGUUCUGCAAGUUUGCUGUUGGACUAUUGUUUCCACUCACCUCUGAGCCUGUGUCUCCAUUAGUGAGAUGAGGCUGGAGGCACCCAGGACCUUCCCAAGAGGCGCCACCUUGCCAGGUUCCUGCCCCAGCACCCUCGCAUGUAGCUGGCUCAGCUGGGCACCGCCCGCCCUUACCCGCCACUUCCGCAGCUGCUCGAUGGCUUCAUCCGGUUCUUGUUGGCCGAGUCAAUGUGCGCCUCCAGGUCCAUCUCCAGCUUCUUCCGGGCGGCCACUGCCAUGGAGUGCCUCUUCCUCUCAUCCUCCAGCUCUGCCUCCAUCUCCCGCACCUGGAGGAAGGAACACUGACAGCUUGGGAAGCUGGACCCACUCAGAGACCCUGCUCUGGCUCUGAACCCAGGUGCCUCUGCAGGAUCUGCGGGGCCUCCGGAAGCCAGUGGGCAUUACUGACUCGAAGAACUCUAAGAAGGUCCCGCUCGAACUGGAUCUUCAUGGCCUGCAGGCUGACCUCCAGCCGCAGAUUGGCGUUUUCAGUGUCCUGCAGCUCAUCCUCCAGCUCCUCCAGCUGGGUCUUCAACUCCUCCACCUGCUGCUCCAGAAGCCGCC